UCACUUUACACUCUCAUUCUGAUCCUGGUCCCACUGAAAAUCACACCAAGAAAUGGACUGGGACCAAACCAAACCAAACCAAACAUGAAAUUCAUGGUCCCACCAGCCAGCCUAAUCAGAUCAAUAAACAAUGCAUCAGUUAAAUUUGAGUAUUUUAAUUUUCUUGUCAAGUUUGAAUCAUCUGUGAUGAUUGAAGAAGCUCUAACUCUCUGUAUACUUUAAUCAUCUUUUGCUGAGAAGAUAUCUGUCUCAGAGAUGUAUGAUUAAAGAGUUUAUCAAAACUCUGUUUUUUUAUAUGGAGCUUAUUCAGAAGACACACUACAUGAUCUCAAUGAGUCAGAUAGAAGCAUUAUUUGCAACCAGCUACAGAAGAUUUUUUUUCCCUUUAACAAAUUAAGUCAGAUUUCAGUGACUCUUUUAUCAGUAUGCAGAUAGUCUGCAAUGUCUAUUAGUGAAGUUUCUUACUGAGAUGUAGAAUCAAUCAACCACAUAUGUUUGCAUGAUUAUGUCUUCACAACCAUUCCUCAAUCUGAAUCCUUUAAAAAUGUGGAAGCAUUUAAUGACUGGUUUUCUUCUCUGCCUCAAAGAUGGCUUUCUGAUUCAAAGAGAUAUCAAGAUUAUCUACCAGACAAUGGGACCAUUAAGUUGACUCAUGGAGACCACUCAUGUGUUCUUGCUGUAGUUGAUUGGGCUCAUACUGGCUGGUACCCGGAAUACUGGGAGUAUUGCAAAGCCUUAUACACAUUAGACUAUAAGGGAGAAUGGUGUAAUGUUUGGAUACCCAAAUUCUUAACCACAUAUGAGACUGAGUUUGCUGUUUUUAGUGAAUAUGUGCUGCAGAUUGGAGCAGUAUAGGGAAACAAUUGCUAAAUGCCAGAAACCAAAAUGAAAAUUGGGAUUUAGUAAUCAUCGUCUCGUUGACCAGUCAUUGAUUGCCGUUGUGCAAUGGUGAGGUACGGCAGGCAUACAGAUGAGCCUCUUCUCGCCGGAAUCCUUGGUAAAAGGGUUAAGCACAAGUGGCCAAUUGAUGAAAGCCUAGCUUGACCUGAGCACGGAGAACAAUCCUUGAAUACUACGAGUAUUUCCAUUUGUGAUUGUCUCGUUGACGGAAUGCCAGCUCUUUGUCAAACACUUCCUCGGACUAGCCGCUGACUUUGAGUGGACAUUGGUGGCACCACGGUGCCAGAAUUGAUGGUGUUUUGGUGUUGGAUGCUUUCUUACUGCCUGCUUAGCGACACAACUAUCUUGUGAUUUGCUGCUGGGGAAAACUCCCUGCUAGGUAGUAUCCUGUGCGAUGUUGUUAUUGGCACCCUAGCGGCCGACCAAUGUCGAAACCAUUCUCACACCUCGAAUACAGCAAGAGAAGAAAUCUCCUUUUAACCCAGUGGUAAAAGUUCAAUUUUAUAUCUAUUCCUAUAGCUGAACGAGGUUCGGAUUUUUGCUAAGAAAUUUUCAACCACAAUGAACUUCGAACCCUGCCAGCCAAUGCAUGUUCAACUCUUAUCGUGAUUUCGCUCCAUCUAAGUUAGUAGUAUUAAUACACCCCACACCAUUCUCAUUACCUCAAGGAGUAUAGAAUUCAGGGCUAUAUUGGAGGAUUAGUCAGGGGGCUA
rnacentral:sRNA from 1 species